UGUAAACAGGAAUGAAAAAGG
rnacentral:piRNA from 1 species